AGAACGAACGCUGGCGGCGUGGAUAAGACAUGCAAGUCGAGCGCUGAUUACAGGGUAGCAAUAUUCUGUAGUUGGAGCGGCGCAAGGGUGCGUAACACGUGGGUAAUCUGCCAUGAAGUUCGGGAUAACUCGCUGAAAGGCGAGCUAAUACCGAAUGUGAAAAUUAGGAGGCAUCUUCCGAUUUUCAAAGCUGGGGACCGUAAGGCCUGGCGCUUCAUGAUGAGCCCGCGGCCUAUCAGCUAGUUGGUGAGGUAACGGCUCACCAAGGCUAAGACGGGUAGCUGGUCUGAGAGGACGACCAGCCACACUGGAACUGAGACACGGUCCAGACACCUACGGGUGGCAGCAGUCGAGAAUUUUCACAAUGGGGGAAACCCUGAUGGAGCGACGCGCGUGGGGAUGAUGGCUUCGGCCCGUAACCCUGUCAUUCGCGAACAAGUUGGUUCAAUUAAUAACUGAACCAUUGAUAGUAGCGGAAGAGGAAGGGACGGCUAAC
rnacentral:rRNA from 1 species